GGCAGUUCUUGGGUGAUGCACCCCAGAAUUAGGCUCCCUCCUUUCUGGUUCUGGGUGCAGCUGCCAAGUCACUGUA
rfam:Myotis brandtii contig230723, whole genome shotgun sequence.